rnacentral:rRNA from 1 species
GCUACCUACGGGACGCAGCAGUGGGGAAUAUUGCACAAUGGGGGAAACCCUGAUGCAGCGACGCCGCGUGAGUGAAGAAGUGCCCCGGCACGUAAAGCUCUGUCAGCAGGGAAGAAAAUGACGGUACCUGACUAAGAAGCACCGGCUAAAUACGUGCCAGCAGCCGCGGUAAUACGUAUGGUGCAAGCGUUAUCCGGAUUUACUGGGCGUAAAGGGAGCGCAGGCGGCGCGCCAAGUCUGAUGUGAAACCCCGGGGCUCAACUCCGGGCAUGCAUUGGAAACUGGCGGGCUGGAGUGCCGGAGAG